CACAACGAUUUGGUUGGCUCCCAGGCUGGAAACACGUCAUCCAUCCGCGCCACCCGGAAGCUGCGGUUCAUACUAACAGUUACUGCCGGUGGGCCUAAGCUAAGCGCCGCCGCACUUGGGUACUGGAGCCCAUCAUGGCGACACCCGCGAAACGGCGAGCCUUGGAUACCGUAGGAGAGAAAGUGCUGCGGUACGAGGCCUUUAUCAGUGACGUACUGCAGCGAGACUUGCAAAAGGUGCUGGACCAUCGAGAUAAGGUAUAUGAGCAACUAUCUGUAUACCUUCAACUGAGAAAUGUUAUUGAGCGGCUGCAGGAAACUAAUCCCUCAGAAUUGUAUAUGCAGGUGGAUUUGGGCUGUAACUUCUUCGUUGACACAGUGGUGUGAGUGUAUUCCCUUGCUCUGAGUUUCUCCCUUCUUCAUGCAACAAGUAUUUCUUAGUAUUUCCUAUAUUACCAGACUCUAGUAGCUUUUAUAUUGCAUUAAGAUAAAAACUACAUACUGUGGGUGUGGCAGUGAAUGAAUACAAAAUACCUGCCCUCACAGAGCCUUCGCUGUGGGCAAUAGAAGGGACUAGGAAACACCUUAAACUAUACGGUAUGCUAAAUAGUAACAAAGACUUUCUCCACUUGCUCUAACCUUUUUCCUCAGCCCAGAUACUUCACGCAUCUAUGUGGCCCUGGGAUAUGGCUUUUUCUUGGAGUUGACACUGGCUGAAGCUCUCAAGUUCAUUGACCGAAAGAGUUCUCUCCUCACAGAGCUCAGCAACACCCUCACCAAGGACUCCAUGAAUAUCAAGGCUCAUAUCCACAUGAUGCUAGAGGGACUUAGAGAACUACAGGGCCUGCAGAAUUUCCCAGAGCCAUCUCCCCACUGACUGCUUCUUCCCAUCCUCCAAUAUUAAAGAGCCUGAAUGCCUUGGAAUCACAUAGCUGGUUUUUUCCCCUAACCAAAGUUCCUGGAAGACCCAUCCUCUCUAUAGAAUCUCUAAAAUAUUUUAGGCAUCUUGCUUGCCUCCAAAUUGUGUUUUCCACCUGACUUUUUGCUUCACCCUCUUUUGUCACCUUGUGAAAUUUUAUAUCCCCCCCACACACACACAUACAUACUUUAAUUCCUUUUCCUAGAUAUUUGUAUGUGUGCCCUUUGUAUUACCAUAAAGAAUGGACUGAUUCAUGGCCUGGAGAUGA